rnacentral:rRNA from 1 species
UUGAAAGGGAAACGAUUGAAGUCAGUCAUACCAACGGGAAAUCAACCUCUUGAGCUCGGUCUCGUGGGUUUUGAAGAGUUUCAAAGCCUUCGGAUUCGCGGGAUUGGGAUCUCUUGGUGUACUUUUUCGUACGGUUAGUCAACAUCGGUUUUGAAUGUCAUAAAAUGACUGGAGGAAUGUAGCUUCGAUCUCGUAUUGAAGUGUUAUAGCCUUUGGUAGAUGUGAUGUUUGAGACCGAGGAUUGCAACGGAUACCCUUCAGGGCUAUUCGUCUGAUCCCUGAUACGUUGCCUUGAUGUUGAAAGCUUGCUUAUGAUGUUAGGGUAUUACGGUCAAAAGGUUAGAGCGAAUUACAUUCGUUAAGGAUGUUGACGUA